AUACUUACCUGGCAGGGGAGAUACCAUGAUGCACGAAGGUGGUUUUCCCAGGGCGAGGCUUAUCCAUUGCACUCCCGGAUGUGCUGACCCCUGCGAUUUCCCAAAUGUGGGAAACCUCGACUGCAUAAUUUGUGGUAGUGGGGGACUGCGUUCGCGCUUUCCCCUG
rnacentral:snRNA from 1 species